rnacentral:rRNA from 1 species
ACGCUCGACACCUACGGGAGGCAGCAGUGGGGGAUAUUGCACAAUGGGGGAAACCCUGAUGCAGCAACGCCGCGUGAGGGAAGACGGUUUUCGGAUUGUAAACCUCUGUCAUCGGUGACGAUAAUGACGGUAGCCGAUGAGGAAGCUCCGGCUAACUACGUGGCAGCAGCCGCGGUAAUCUGAGCGGGCUGGCAAGGC